AAGAAUUACAUAACACUUCAUUUUGAUAUCUUGAAUACAAGACACAUGAUAUUUCCCUCGUUCCACUUUAGGCUCUCGAUUGUGGUCCAAUACUGCUUGUUAAGCAUUUUCCUUUUUGGCACAUAUGCUACGUGAUUUUGGGGUUCUGUUCAUACGAUCUAUUUCAGAGAAGUAGAUAUACGAAAGGGUGUUCAGAAAGAUGGAGCAACAACUCUCUUCUCUUUCUUAUUUCUUCUACGCAAAGCAUCUUCGUAAAUGACAGGUAGGGAGGUUAUUUCACCUUUAUUAAACUUGUUCGGUGAUUGCUAGUCAUUUUUCCUUAGAAAUUAUCUUGCAUUUGUGGAGUAAUUCGGUCAGUAUUAGUGUUCUGGACUUGUCCAAAGCAUAGCUAAGUUUAGUAAUCACUCAACACCUUAGGAAUAACAGCGCAAGAAGUACUAUUGUGAUGAUCUGAUUGACAAAACUUGGUUGUGGAUAAAGACAAAGAAGGUGAACUUAAGUCUAGAGGUUGUAAAUUAACUCAUUCCUUAGCUGGUUGCUAUUGAGUAUUGCUUCUGUUCCAUUUACCAUUUGAUUGGAAAUGGAAGUUAAGACGUUAAUUUGAUUUGUGUAUCAUGUUAUUAGUAGUGGAGAAUCAUAUCAUAAUAACAAUUACAAAGCUGGUUUAAUAUUUAGAAAAAUGUUAGAUCGAAAUGUAAAAGAUCGAAUAGUUUAACUUAUUUGCAUUCUUGAAAGUCGUAUAAGCAGAAUAUUACAACCUUGUGACGGACCAUGGAACGCGAUGUCGAUAUUCCUCCCUUCCUUCUUUUGGCAUGAUCCAUACGAUACGAACGAAAUAUGCAAAUGCACAAAUUCCAUGAAUGAUUCUAUUCAUAGAAGUAUUAGAGACAUCUAUGUUCUUGAAUUUCCGUGUGUCGUAAUAUUUUAUCAUCUGUUCAUGGGUCUCAGAAAAAAAUAUGAAAGUUGAAAAGAGUUUACUUUAUGAUAUUACUCAAAGGCAAAAUGGUCUUAUAAAGCUCGGAAAGAUUUUAUUAACGUACUUUUCAAGCAUUGCAUUCAUGUGCAUUGACCCAUGACCAGAUGACGUUAUAUACGCGUAUAUAUGUAUGUAUAUGUAUAUGGGAUAUAGGAAAAGGUUACGGCGUUAUAUACGCACCACCACCUGAUCAGCUGGUAUAUGAUGAUGAUGAUGAUGAUGUUGCCCACAGUGGCUGAAAUAUGAUUCAAACGACGUUAUAUACGCGUAUAUAUGUAUGUAUAUAUAUGUAUAUGAGAUACGGGAAAGGUUAUGACGUUAUAUACGCACCACCACCUGAUCAGCUGGUAUACGAUGAUGAUUCUUCCCACAGUGGCUGAUAUAAUAUGAUGGGAUGCCCUCAGAGGCUGAUGAUGUUAUGAAACAUGUACCUAUGCACGACAUGACAUUCAUAUGCAUAUGCAUGACACUAUAAGUAUUUCAUGAAUUACAGAGUUAUCCAGACUUACAGGUUGAGUCAUUUACUCUAUAUUUCUUCCAUGUCUUUUAUGUACUUAUUUAUGUGCCUUACAUACUCGGUACAUUAUUCGUACUGACGUCCCUUUUGCCUAGGGACGCUGCAUUCAUACCUGCAUGUAUAGACAAUCAGUUUGACGAGCCCUCAUAGUAGACGAGAUAGGCAUUCAACGAAUGAUCAGUAAGACUCCACCUCAUUCGGGGUGCAGUCGAGUCUAUGAGUUAUCGUGUCAGAGUUUUGCUACAGACUUAUGGGUAGGCCGGUACCCUGUCCCAUUUGAUGUCAAAUAAUCUUAUAGACUUUGUAGACAUAGGUUCACUUUGUAUAGUAUAUCAGAGGCCUUGAUGGCCCAUAUGUAUUUAUGUUUUAAGAAAAAAAUGAUUCAGAAAUACAAUAUUAUUCACUUACAAUUGUACAUUACGAGUUGUGGCUAUGUUGCCACAUGAUAGUUACAAAGGGAAUGAAUGAGUUUCAGAGUGGUUUGCUCGGGCCAGUGUGGCACCGGGUGCCAGCCACGCCUCCUAAGGUCGGGGCGUGACGGAGAUAUUGUAUUAGAAUUUUUUAAUACUAAAAAUCAGUUAGCGAAUAUUUUUACAAAACCUUUACUUGAAGAAAGAUUUUGUUUCCUUCGUAACAAAAUUGGUAUUUGUACAAUUCCCGCAUAACCGUGUUUAAUGUUUUCCUUAAUUUUCUAAGUUUAUUUUUUUACCAUAUAUUUUCUCGUGAUUUUCGCCCCCAAAAUCUUUUAAGUACUUGAUUAGUCUGUACAUGCAUUUAUUGUGAAACGACGGCGGGCUUGCAGAAGGCAACUUUUUAGUUGUCCUUCACAUGUCUCUCUGAGAAUCGACGCAACCUCUCUGAUCCUUUUUAACCCCUUUUCCCUCGAUCAUAUCUCCCAUUAUCUCAAAGAAACUAAAUUCCUAUCUCUCUGUUUUCUUCUACUCAUGGCCAAAGCCAAACCCUCUCCCUUUUCCUCCACACCCAGAAGAAGCCAUCACCUCAAGAAAACCAAAGAUGACCAUGUUGAUAUAGAAUCCUUAGAAAGCACAGAUCAUCUAUUGACCGAAGAAGAUUCGAGUGACUAUCAAGAAAACAUCCUCAUCUCCCAAAAGAGGGCAGAAAAACAACCAAAUGAGUCAAUCCCAAAACAUUCUUCUCCGAAAAAGGGAAAAACUAAAAGUGUAGAGUUUGGUCCCGAAGACAAGAUGAACUUCUAUAGCCCUAGGCUAGGUUUGUUGCCUUCAAAGGAAAGUCGAUUGCUUUUGGCCGCACUGUAUGUUUAAAGUCUAUGCAAAACUCUCACUGUGAUGUUAUGUCUGUUUUUGAAGCUCAAAAGCUUGUCUCUCUAUUUACUAGUAUUAGUGAUACUGUCUAUGAAGAGCCUGUGCGUAUGUUUUAUGCAAAUCUGUUUGUGAAUGAUAAAGAUAAUCUAGAAUCCAUGGUCUUAGGAACUCGUAUUAUUCUUGACUCUUAUCAGUUUGAGAAAAUCUUUGCACAGUUUGUUGGGUACAUCUUUUUUGUGCAACAUUCCUGGCCAAAUAAUUUUGAAGUGUCAUUUGAGGAAGCCAAGAGUGUGUUGUCUGAAAGCCCCUCUCAUAUAGGACUAAAGAAUUUGAAAUUUGAACAUUGUGUUCUAGCCCACAUUAUUGCGACCAUUUUGCUACCCUGUAUUGGUUCACUGGGCACUCUGUCUCUCGUAUUUGUUCUAUAUUGUUUGGUAAAUGGUAAAGCUAUCAACUGGUUUGCCUAGGUACGUCAGUACAUGCUUGAAAGUAUUAGGGAUAUUUCAUCUUCUGCAAACAGCUUGCCCUAUGGUUUACUAAUCUCUUACAUCUUGAAAGUUAUGAAAGUGGAUAUAUCUCUCUAUGCUCCUAAAACUAUCUCCAACACCUAUGACAAGACUGUCUUUGCCAUGAUGAGGUAUGUCUUGAUUAAGGGAACAUGGCUUAAGAAAGACAAAGCACCAGAGUUCAUUCCUACCCAGAGCAUUGGAGGGAUCAAAUUUGAAGCCAGCAAAUCCUCUUCCUCAAAUCAGCUGACGUUGAUGCAGCAAAACAUUGUAGGUAUCAAGGAAUUACUAACCUCUAUACAGGAGAAGGUGGACAAAAUCAGGGAAGUAACCAAGGAAACUAGAGAAGACGUGGCUAAGCUAAGGAUCACUCUCCAAGCCACAAGGAGGCAAGGGAUUAGGGCUGUGUAGGAUGUCACUGAGAAGCUGACCAAAGUCACCAAAGAUAUUGAUGCCUCUUAUGACAGUUUAUGCACUAAAGUGAUCAACACCUUGAAAUACUUCCUUGGAAGGAAUUAAGUGUCUAGGAUGCCUAAGACCAUGUUUUAUUUUUUUUUGUUGGUGGUUUUAAGACUAUUUCUUUUGGUUGUGUUUUAAUUGAGUAUGUCAUCGACUAUGCUCACUAUAACUGCUUAGCUAUAAAUAAUUUUUACCUUCUUAUCUAGUACUAUUAUUACAAAUUGUUUCUCUUGCUCUUUUUGAUUGAUAUCAAAGGGGGAGAAGAAAGAAAAAGAGUACAUGUUCUAGACAAAGGGAGCACACUUGAAAAAGGGAAGUAACCAUACAAGAACCAGCUUCAAGACAGGGGGAGCACACUUGAAAAAGGGAAGUACCCAUAAAUUAUUCAAACACUUUUUAGAUCAUCAUCAAAAAGGGAGAUUGUUAAGUUUAGAAUUUUAAUAAUGAUCAAUAAUCCAAAAGAAGCUUUGACUAAUGAUAUAUUCUUGUAUGCAGGAAAGAAGGAAACAAUGAUGAUAGAAGGAAAGAAGAUCCUAUUCAACGGCUAUGUAUUUUGAACUUGGCUAUAUAUGGAAAAUAAAUCAAUCAGCCCAAGAACAAAGAAGGAAAGUCAAUCAAUCAGCAUUGUUAAAGAUUCUCAAAUAUGCAAGAAUGGGAAGAGAGCUAAUCACGGCCGGAGAUCAAAUCUAGAAGAUUCUGCAGAAGCUCAAGUCAAGGAGGAAUGAAGGAAGCCAUUUGUCAAGAUUAUCUCAAAUCAAGGAGGAAUGAAGGAAGCCAUUUGUCAAGAUUAUCUCAAAUCAAGGAGGAAUGAAUGAAGCAAUUCGUUAAGAAUAAAGAUGAAUCUAGAUACCAUUUCAAGCUAGAUUCAUGAGGCUACCCUUGGGUCUUUAUCUUAGAUGUAUAUGCCUCACAUGGAAAGGACUUCUAGAAUUGCUUCAAUACAAUCCCAGAACACAAGGAAGCAGAAGACUCAUCAAGCUAUAAAGGAAGAAGUAGAAGAACAUUCAAAGGCGCGCAACUACAUAAUCUGUUUCUAAGCCUUUUAAGUUCUUAGUACAGAUACUGUAUUCUUGAGUCUAAAAGUGUCACAAAAUAUAUGAAGAGUUAGAGAGAGUUAUGUCAACAUUAAAAAUCAUUGUUGCUGUAUAUCGUUGGUGGUGAAUGAUAAGUUGGUAUUUUACCAACUUAUCUCCUCUUAAUACUUAGGAUUUUGUAUGAUUUUGUUGAGAAACUAAG
rnacentral:lncRNA from 1 species